UACGUAGGUGGCAAGCGUUGUCCGGAUUUACUGGGCGUAAAGGGUGCGCAGGCCGCGCGGGCAGUCAAAUGUGUAAUCCAGGGGCUCAACCCCUGAACUGCGCUUGAUACUUCCGCGCUAGAACUUUGGAGAGGAGUCUGGAAUUCUCGGUGUAGCAGUGAAAUGCGUGGAUAUCGAGAAGAACACUUAGGGCGUAGGCAAGACUCUGGACAAAUGUUGACGCUCAAGCACGAAGGCUAGGGUAGCGAACGGG
rnacentral:rRNA from 1 species